CUACGGGGGGCAGCAGUGAGGAAUAUUGCACAAUGGGGGGAACCCUGAUGCAGCAACGCCGCGUGGAGGAUGACGCAUUUCGGUGUGUAAACUCCUUUUAUAUGUCAAGAAAAUGACGGUAGCAUAUGAAUAAGCACCGGCUAACUCCGUGCCAGCAGCCGCGGUAAUACGGAGGGUGCAAGCGUUACUCGGAAUCACUGGGCGUAAAGGACGCGUAGGCGGGUUGGAAAGCCAGGUGUGAAAUCCUACAGCUUAACUGUAGAACUGCACUUGAAACUUCUAAUCUAGAGUAUGGGAGGGGGAGAUGGAAUUAGUGGUGUAGGGGUAAAAUCCGUAGAUAUCACUAGGAAUACCUAAGCGAAGGCGAUCUCCUGGAACAUUACUGACGCUAAGGCGUGAAAGCGUGGGGAGCAAACAGGAUUAGAUACCCCAGUAGUC
rnacentral:rRNA from 1 species